AUACGGGGGGGGCAAGCGUUGUCCGGAAUCAUUGGGCGUAAAGGGCGCGUAGGCGGAACGGUAAGUCAGAGGUGAAAAUCCGGAGCUCAACUUCGGACCUGUCUUUGAUACUGCUGUUCUUGAGUGCGGGAGAGGAAAGCGGAAUUCCCGGUGUAGCGGUGAAAUGCGUAGAUAUCGGGAAGAACACCGGUAGCGAAGGCGGCUUUCUGGCCCGCAACUGACGCUGAGGCGCGAAAGCGUGGGGAGCAAACAGGAUUAGAAACCCUAGUAGUCC
rnacentral:rRNA from 1 species